AUUGAACGCUGGCGGCAGGCCUAACACAUGCAAGUCGAACGAGGGGCGGACGGGUGAGGAAUGUCUGGGAAACUGCGCGAGGGAGGGGGAUAACUACUGGAAACAGUAGCUAAUACCGCAUACCAUCGGAUGUGCCCAGAUGGGAUUAGCUAGGAGGUGGGGUAACGGCUCACCUAGGCGACGAUCCCUAGCUGGUCUGAGAGGAUGACCAGCCACACUGGAACUGAGACACGGUCCAGACUCCUACGUGAGGCAGCAGUGGGGAAUAUUGCACAAUGGGCGCAAGCCUGAUGCAGCCAUGCCGCGUGUAUGAAGAAGGCCUUCGGGUUGUAAAGUUCUUUCAGCUAGGAGGCGUUACUCGCCGAAGAAGCACCGGCUAACUCCGUGCCAGCAGCCGCGGUAAUUC
rnacentral:rRNA from 1 species